AGGGGUGCUAUCUGUGGUUGAGGACA
rnacentral:miRNA from 8 species